CAGCCACUCAUUCAAAGAGUGCGUAAUAGCUCACUGGUCGAGUGAUCCUGCGCCGAAGAUUUCCGGGGCUAAAACUUACUACCGACGCUACGGCAUCAGUAAUGAUGGGUAGGGGAGCUUCCCAUACGGGCUGAAGCAUGACCGUAAGGACAUGUGGACAGUAUGGGAGUGAGAAUGUUGGCAUGAGUAGCGAGAUGUGGGUGAGAAUCCCAC
rnacentral:rRNA from 1 species